GACGAACGCUGGCGGCGUGCUUAACACAUGCAAGUCGAACGGAAAGGCCCUGCUUUCGUGGGGUGCUCGAGUGGCGAACGGGUGAGUAACAUGUGAGUAACCUGCCCUUGACUUUGGGAUAACCUCAGGAAACUGGGGCUAAUACCGGAUAGGAGCUCCUGCUGCAUGGUGGGGGUUGGAAAGUUUCGGCGGUUGGGGAUGGACUCGCGGCUUAUUAGCUUGUUGGUGGGGUAGUGGCUUACCAAGGCUUUGACGGGUAGCCGGCCUGAGAGGGUGACCGGGGACAUUGGGACUGAGAUACGGCCCAGACUCCUACGGGAGGCAGCAGUGGGAAAUAUUGCACAAUGGGCGGAAGCCUGAGGCAGCAGCGCCGCGUGCGGGAUGACGGCCUUCGGGUUGUAAACCGCUUUCGGCUGUGACGAAGCGUGAGUGACGGUAAUGGGUAAAGAAGCACCGGCUAACUACGUG
rnacentral:rRNA from 1 species